rnacentral:tRNA from 1 species
GCGGGGAUAGCCAAGCGGUCAACGGCGUCCGGCUCAAGACCGGAUCCUUAGUGGUUCGGGAGUUCGAAUCUCCCUCCCCGCACCA